GAGAGAGAGAGAGAGAGAGAGAGAGAGUCAGCAAUACUGUUGUUGUAUUGCGCAUUCUAAAUUACAGCUGUUCAUCUAUGCUUUCUUUCGUGCCUUCCUACAGGUAUCUGUGCAUACGUACCCUAUCACUCGGCCAUCCCGCUAUGGGAUCCUAUUAAUUCUGUGAAAUGGGCAUCUACACUUAGCUGAGACCGAGACCAUGUCUGCGUUAACAUUAGCUGCAAAUCACAACACUAGUGGUUUUAGACUCCACUCGCUGCGUCCAUGAUAGAUUAGAACAUGUUGACGAAUUCUCACUGCCUGCUCUGCUCCAUGGAUACACAUCUUCUCGACAGUUGCGUGAGGCGUUAUGCCUUUUUGACAAGUUUUUUAGGCAUGCUGAAGCCUGGGCAACAGACACAUGGGUGUGCUUUAAAGGGAGAGGCUGUCAAUGACUUGAUACCAGCAAGCGUUCUCAUUGACUUCUACUUAAAAUGCA